UGUGUUGAGGAAGAUAAUGACGGUACUCAACAAGGAAGUGACGGCUAACUACGUGCCAGCAGCCGCGGUAAAACGUAGGUCACAAGCGUUGUCCGGAAUUACUGGGUGUAAAGGGAGCGCAGGCGGGMGAWCAAGUUGGAAGUGAAAUCCAUGGGCUCAACCCAUGAACUGCUUUCAAAACUGGUCUUCUUGAGUAGUGCAGAGGUAGGCGGAAUUCCCGGUGUAGCGGUGGAAUGCGUAGAUAUCGGGAGGAACACCAGUGGCGAAGGCGGCCUACUGGGCACCAACUGACGCUGAGGCUCGAAAGUGUGGGUAGCAAACAGGAUUAGAUACCCUGGUAGUCCACACCGUAAACGAUGAUUACUAGGUGUUGGAAGAUUGACCCUYUCAGUGCCGCAGUUAACACAAUAAGUAAUCCACCUGGGGAGUACGACCGCAAGGUUGAAACUCAAAGGAAUUGACGGGGGCCCGCACAAGCAGUGGAGUAUGUGGUUUAAUUCGACGCAACGCGAAGAACCUUACCAAGUCUUGACAUCCCUUGACGAUGCUGGAAACAGUAUUUCUCUUCGGAGCAAGGAGACAGGUGGUGCAUGGUUGUCGUCAGCUCGUGUCGUGAGAUGUUGGGUUAAGUCCCGCAACGAGCGCAACCCUUAUGGUCAGUUACUACGCAAGAGGACUCUGGCCAGACUGC
rnacentral:rRNA from 1 species